UCUGGUGCAGACAAAGAGCAAUGAGGACACAGCAUCUUAGGGAAGAGAAACACUGCACAGGGGUGACCUUGCCUUUGGGGAUUUGACUAUCAUCAGCGCAGGGAAAGAACUCAGAGAGGUUAUUGGGGAAGACCACUCCUGAUGGGGGAACCUUUAUGAAAAAUGGCGGUACAUGUGAAUGUCUUUGUUUGGGAAAACAUUCAUAGUCACUGGAAAUGACCCUUUCAUUCUCACUUUUUGGCAAUUUCUCUUCUGGAUGAGUCACUUCUCUUCUGGGAAUUGGGAAUGACAGAUCACAGGAGCUACAGAAAAUGAAAACUGGAAGCGACCUCAGGCUGUGUCAGGUCCAGCUUCUUCACCUUACAAAUGAGCCGAGGAUGCGAAGAGAUGGGCUCCUUCUCACAGGGCAGACGUAGCUUUUAAACACAAGGACGUCUGACAGAAGCAUGCUGCAGUCCACAACACAAGUUAGAACUCCAACUUCUAAGGUGGAGCCACAGAAGGUCCUGAGGUCUCAGAGUUGUACUCUGAAGACAGGCUACGUCUUCACAGAACUUCUGCUCCCUGCAACCUUCCCCGACCAGAAAGGUUCGUGUGUUGGUUGGGAGGACCAGGCAAAUCAACCAACAGAUUAAACAGUGGUGAAGGAAGAUGUGUUUAUUGGCCUCAUUGGGAGCAGAAUGAAGAAUGAAAGAUUUGAGAGCAGAAGGGACCUCAGCAAGUCUUGUAACCCUUGCUCCAACCUUGAAUCUCCCAUAAUCUCAUGGAGAGCUGCUGUACCUUUUCUUUAAAUGAACUCCUUGAACUCA